UGACGCACCAGGGAUUACGCAAUACAUCGUGAAGGCACGUUGUGUUUCAAUGGCGUCUCAGAUGGUUGGAAAUGUGUAUUUGCAGUUGGACUGACCUUUUACUGUUUAGGAUUCCCCCAAUCACGCAAUACCAUCAGCGCUAGGAGGGUGAAGGAUGUUGAUAUGGCUGCAACUGAACGGGGGAUCGGGAGACUGUUCUGGGGAUCUGUGUGACUAGAGUUGAGGGAGCUGAAGCCAUGGACCCCCCCUGCCAAUACUGGAGUGGUAUUAGAAGGUGGUGUGGUUCUAGAAGACCUGGGCAGUGUGUUCCUUGCCUUUGCAGUUCGGGCUGAUUUAUGCCUUAUAUAUUUAUAACCUUAUGAUUUAUAACUUGUUACCCUCCUACAUUCAGAUACACUUUUGAUGUACUCCAAAAACUGUUUGUUUCUGGAACUAGAUGCUAACAAACUGUCAUGAAGCUCAAUUACUAAAUACCAAGCUGUUCAGUGAGAUGUGGUCCAUACUGAGUAUUACACUUGUGAUGUACUGUUUAUCGAAUCCCACUGUGGUUGCACUUUCUGAAAACUUCAAUGUUGGUACUGUGUUUUGUACAUAAUUCAGAUUUAUACGUGUUUCAUGUUUUGUAGACAUUUCACUUAACUGUAUGGUGCUUUGUUAAACAUUUUCCAUUUAAAUGAAUUCUGAUUGCACUUAUUGUAUUGUAUUGUAUGCUGUAUUGUGUUAAAGACGUCUGAUUCUUACACUGAUCAGC